AACAUUGGUUUCACAUGAUCAUAUACAAAUAUAGAAACAAAGCAAGUGAAGUAGAAUUAAUCAACAAGUCUCUAUUAAGAACCUUCACAACUCUAAACCCACACACAAAAACUUCAACAUAUUCCCUCAAAAUCAAACCUUUGAAACAGUAAAAAAAAUUAAUCAUUUCGUCAACCUUAAUGUGAAGUGUACCGCCGCCAAACUCAGAACCGGACUUGUUAUUGAGCUCCAACCAAGCCUUGUUCUCGUAAAAGCAAGCACCUUUCCACUCCACGGCGUCGUUUUUAAUAGAGGCGGCGCCUAUGUAAGUAGGGAGGAGGUCGACGGCGGAGUUGAGAGAGUUGAGAAGCGGCCAGGAGAGUUGCCUGGGCAAGAGCGGGAGCAGGUCCCGAGGGUGAAAUGGUAAUUUGACGGAUGAAACAGUGAGAACCAUCAGAACGGUAACGGCGAAGAUGAUGGCCGGAGAAGACGAAGAAACCGCCAUGGGUCAAUCAAAGUGUCUCCCUUUCCGUGUCGAACUCGCAACUGUUAAUGACUUGGUUUAACGUAUUUAUUCGAGUAUAUUCCUCGAAUACAUGUAAUCAAAACUUUAUAUUUAUAUAUGUUUUGUUAUGGGGGUGUAAUAGCUAUUUUUAAAAUGUUAGGUGUAAUUCUGUGAGUUUAGAAACUAAGAAGCCAAAUUCUGAAACGUUUCUAUAAGUUUCGCAACUGGUCAUCUCAUCUCUAGUGAUCACUAUAGCCCCACGCAUCUCUUACGUAUACCACAACAUAACUAUACCCUAAUCUCUUCCUCUUUAUCAUUGGCUUAAGUUUUGAAAAAAAGAACUAGAAGAAGACACAUCAUCUCUUUCAAUGGCUGUUUCAUUUCAAACCAAGUACCCUCUAAGACCCAUCACCAACGUCUCAAGAACCAACCGUCCUUCACUUCUCCAUGUUCGUGUCACGUGCUCUGCUACUACCACAACCACCACAAAGACUCAGCCUAACCGUGAAAAAAAGCUUGUGGUUGAGAAACGUUUUGUGAGUCCUCCUCUUUCCAACGACCCAACUCUGCAGUCUACAUGGACUCACCGCUUAUGGGUUGCAGCUGGUUGCACCACAUUGGUGGCCUCUUUAGCUAAGUCUAUCAUCGGAGGGGUUGGUUCUCACCUCUGGCUCGAACCAGCUUUAGCCGGUUAUGCAGGGUACGUCUUGGCUGAUCUUGGCUCUGGUGUGUACCACUGGGCUAUAGAUAACUACGGAGAUGAGUCAACGCCACUUGUAGGAGCAUCUAUAAAUUGCCUAACUACUAGUGAUUUCUUGAACAUUGGUUUCACAUGAUCAUAUACAAAUAUAGAAACAAAGCAAGUGAAGUAGAAUUAAUCAACAAGUCUCUAUUAAGAACCUUCACAACUCUAAACCCACACACAAAAACUUCAACAUAUUCCCUCAAAAUCAAACCUUUGAAACAGUAAAAAAAAUUAAUCAUUUCGUCAACCUUAAUGUGAAGUGUACCGCCGCCAAACUCAGAACCGGACUUGUUAUUGAGCUCCAACCAAGCCUUGUUCUCGUAAAAGCAAGCACCUUUCCACUCCACGGCGUCGUUUUUAAUAGAGGCGGCGCCUAUGUAAGUAGGGAGGAGGUCGACGGCGGAGUUGAGAGAGUUGAGAAGCGGCCAGGAGAGUUGCCUGGGCAAGAGCGGGAGCAGGUCCCGAGGGUGAAAUGGUAAUUUGACGGAUGAAACAGUGAGAACCAUCAGAACGGUAACGGCGAAGAUGAUGGCCGGAGAAGACGAAGAAACCGCCAUGGGUCAAUCAAAGUGUCUCCCUUUCCGUGUCGAACUCGCAACUGUUAAUG
rnacentral:lncRNA from 1 species